AUCUUGGUCGAUCACUUGCUUAAAGUAAACAAUUUACCUUUUUCUGUUUUGCUCAAAUCCCUUUUAAUUAACACUGGCUAGUUAGCUUUAUUCCCAAAUAGAAUUCUGUAAUUCCUUCUUCUCUUUCUUCAUUUUCUUUGAUUUUUUCCCAUCGUAAAGCUUCCUUCCUUCCUUACUUUCCUCUGCCGUAGCUGAACUUCGAACCCCCAUCCGACUCCACCUUCAGCAUCACCACCACUCCUCAUCUUCCAUACGACGCCACCAGUGAGCUGAGCUCUGACGACAUGGAAGAUCGCCGCCGCCUGCCAACGGAGUGGCGACCAACAGAAGAAGAAGAAGGAGUAGUCCGUCUCCCGUAAACAGAGUCCCUUGCGAACCGACGGCUGACGGAGACUGGCCAGCGGAGGCGACCUUAAACCAUGGGAAAUUGGUGACGUGGCUUCGGGCGAACGAUUCUCUCCCUGAGGUUCGUUCUGGGUUUCGUGCAGCUUGCUAUAGAUCAGGCAAAGCUUGAUUUGGACAGCCUUGAAGUUCGAGUUGGGUAAAACUGAUUUUCAGUAACCAGCUGUGUGAUUGUUGAGGAAGGGCACAUUAUUGCAGCAGGAAGAAACAGGACUAAUGAGAAGCAGAAUGUAACAAGACGUGCAGAAUUGGAAGCUCUUGAUGUUCUUCUUGAACACUGGCGGAGGACUGGAUUUUCGUCUGCAAAAGUUGCAGAGAAGUUUUCAGCAUACUCCCUUUAUGUGACAUGUGAAGCAUGACAUGUGCAGCAGCAUUAUCAAUUAUUGGAAGUAUAUUAUGGCUGUGCAAAAGAUAAAUUUGGAGGCUGUUGCAUUCAAGUAGCUCCAAGGCAUGCAUUAGUAAUGGAAAUUCUGGAUCAAAGUGUUUCAAAUGUUGUGGAGUAAAAGAUGUUGUACCCUUGGUCUGGAGAAUUAUCUACUCACAUCCCAGCUCCAAAGCCUCACACGGCACGGGUUACUCAGGCUUCUCACUAGAUCUGCGUGCAUUGAUUCUUCCUGUUGAAUACUCUCAUGGCUUUGCAUGACUAGAAUUUCAUCAAGGAACCGUGAAACGAAGCAUGAUGCUUGUCCAUAUCAGUAUUUGCCUGGAUGUUCAUGUGUUUGCAGAGGGUUACAGUUGUGAUUGGAAGUCCAUUUCUUGCUUUAACUUGAGUAUCAUAUUGUUAAGAUAAUUUAAGGUAUAAACUGUGUAGGCAUUCUGAUGCUAAUAUUUGUCAUCAACGUAUUCUGUAAUCUAGCUUAUUUUUUUUA